AUUGAACGCUGGCGGCAGGCUUAACACAUGCAAGUCGAGCGGAGCGAGGGUGCUUGCACCUUAGCUUAGCGGCGGACGGGUGAGUAAUGCUUAGGAAUCUGCCUAUUAGUGGGGGACAACAUUCCGAAAGGACUGCUAAUACCGCAUACGCCCUACGGGGGAAAGCAGGGGAUCUUCGGACCUCGCGCUAAUCGAUGAGCCUAAGUCGGAUUAGCUAGUUUGUGGGGUAAAGGCAUACCAAGGCGACGAUCUGUAGCGGGUCUGAGAGGAUGAUCCGCCACACUGGGACUGAGACACGGCCCAGACUCCUACGGGAGGCAGCAGUGGGGAAUAUUGGACAAUGGGCGGAAGCCUGAUCCAGCCAUGCCGCGUGUGUGAAGAAGGCCUUUUGGUUGUAAAGCACUUUAAGCGAGGAGGAGGCUACUUAGAUUAAUACUCUGGGAUAGUGGACGUUACUCGCAGAAUAAGCACCGGCUAACUCUGUGCCAGCAGCCGCGGUAAAAC
rnacentral:rRNA from 1 species